GAAUCCUACUCUAACUACUUUUGUUCAUCCUUCCAAAGGUGACAGUGGUCUGUUGUGUUCAAAGAGAGCUGGAAGAGGACAAGCAGUUUUAAGGUAGCACAAAGGAAGGCAACUUAAUGCCUCCCUAAAGAGAAACCACACGGGCUGUACUGGCGAAGAGGAUAAUAAUGGCAACAAUAACAAUAAAGAAGAGUGUCGAGACUAUGUGAGAAGGGAUCCAAAAUCAAGCAGUUUGGAAGCUGAUACACAAAGAGUUUGCCCUGUUCUUGGCUUCCUAGAACUGGGGACUCUUUUGCUGGAAAAACUCAA
rnacentral:lncRNA from 13 species